rnacentral:misc_RNA from 1 species
ACAAGAUUCAAACUUUUCCGAGAGCUCUAGGGCUCGAGGGAAGUCUACUUAUCCAGUAGGCACAUCUUGUGAACUGUACUGUCUCUGGCGGAUGGAUAGAGUAAUCGGCAACGGUUCUGUAUCUGUCAGCUUGGAUCGUUGGAUCUGAGCCGUGGACAAGCCGCCAACCACUUGCAUCAACCUAAGUAUUUUUUUUUUGUCUAACAUAACCUUGUAUAAAUAUACAAA